CGCCCUUUAGUUAAAAAAGCUUCGUAAGUUGAAUUUUCUGGGGGAAGUCGUUCUGUCCCUUCCCCUUGGUGUUGNUUCGGGACUGCAUCUUCUGCCNUCCUUGGUCGNAGCCCAGUUUGGCAUUUAGUUGUCGGGCUGGGGACGAUCAUCGUUUACUGUGAAGAAAUUAGAGUGUUCAAAGCAGGCUUAGGCCUUGAAUACAUUAGCAUGGAAUAAUGAAAUAGGGUUUUGGCACUAUUUUGUUGGUUCGCGCGCCGAAACAAUGAUUAAUAGGGACAGUUUGGGGAUAUUCGUAUUCAAUUGUCAGAGGUGAAAUUCUUGGAUUUCUGGAAGACGAACGACUGCGAAAGCAUUUAUCAAGGAUGUUUUCAUUAAUCAAGAACGAAAGUUAGGGGAUCGAAGAUGAUUAGAUACCAUCGUAGUCUUAACCAUAAACUAUGCCAGUUAGGGAUUGGCAGGGUAUCGUUACGUCCCUGUCAGCACCUUAUGAGAAAUCAUUAAACUUUUGGGUUCCGGGGGGAGUAUGGUCGCAAGGCUGAAACUUAAAGAAAUUGACGGAAGGCACCNCCAGGA
rnacentral:rRNA from 1 species